rnacentral:lncRNA from 13 species
AUGAAUAACUUCUCUAGUCCAUCAUCUUCAGACUGGAGAGGUUUAACUACACAGUCUGAAGCAGACUGGAGAGGUUUAACUACACAGUCUGAAGCAGACUGGAGAGGUUUAACUACACAGUCUGAAGCAGACUGGAGAGGUUUAACUACACAGUCUGAAGCAGACUGGAGAGGUUUAGCUACACAGUCUGAAGCAGACUGGAGAGGUUUAACUACACAGUCUGAAGCAGACUGGAGAGGUUUAACUACACAGUCUGAAGCAGACUGGAGAGGUUUAACUACACAGUCUGAAGCAGACUGGAGAGGUUUAACUACACAGUCUGAAGCAGACUGGAGAGGUUUAACAACACAGUCUGAAGCAGACUGGAGAGGUUUAGCUACACAGUCUGAAGCAGACUGGAGAGGUUUAACUACACAGUCUGAAGCAGACUGGAGAGGUUUAACUACACAGUCUGAAGCAGACUGGAGAAGAAAGUGAACACACCCAAACACAGAAGGGUUAUAUGAAUGUAAAUAGUGUAUGUGAAUAUGUUAUAAUAUAUAUUCAUUGUUGCUCAGUUUUUGGUGAUUGAAAAAGGCAAAACGCUAAUGAAAUCAAAACAGUUCUCAAGUUACGGAUGACUUUUCAUUUGUCUUGUACUGAUCAUAGAUUUUCUUUUGCUAUCACCAGCAAUGUUCUUUCAUUCACGAAACACAGAUAUGAUAACAGGGUCGUUUGUAUUCUCUAGGAACUAAAUGAAUCAAACGACUGAAAUGAGGAGGGACUAACCUGAACUUGUUCAAUAAGAGACAUUCAUUUUCAUUGCAAAAAUGUUUUCCAUGGCAAACACACUUUGCUACCGUUUUGCCAUGGUGGGCACUAAUGAAUACACCCCAAGUCAGAAAAAAUUCAAAAGGACAUCCAUAGACAAAAUCAGUGUUAAGCAAGAAAAAUAAUUUAUUUGAAUGAUAUAAUAAUUUGAAUCACAUUGGCAAGACAUACAUAGCUGCAUGUGUUCAAACCAACAGCUACAUAAACCACACUGCUGGAUCUGAAAACUGAGGUUAUUGAUAAUUAUCAUAAUAAUAAUCAUAUAUGCAGUAGAGUUUUAAAUAUGUCCUUCCAAUGAGAAAUAACAAAAAUAGAAUAAUUCCAAGAACUCUCUCUCUCUCUCUUUAUUUGAGUAGCCUAACCCAACAAACUUCAUCUUGUUUCGUGGGUGUUUUUGUGUGUGUCUUUUAACUUAAUAAAACUUUAUUAUUGUCCUGGUCCUAUACAUACAGAGAGUACUGUGAGCAGUUUAAAACUGCUGUACAACUAAUUAUCGGUUAUACUCAUUAUACUUAGGGACAGGAGUUUUUCCUGACCACAUGACCUGACCGGGAAACACUCUGGGCCGAGAGUUAUAUGCUAUUUGUUUCUCAUAGCCUAUAACUAGGACCCUGAGUUUUUCCUGCAUUGGUUAGGUAAUGUGGUGAGGGAAAAUUAUGGGGCUAGAUUUCUGUAAGAAUGUUGUUCGGGGAAAAAAAAAGUACAUAUUUUGACAGAAAAAUAACUCCUGUCCCUAAUCAUCCUAUCACCUCUAUAUUUAAUCUGAAUAAGGGUCGUCUAAUGGUACUUACAUUGUAUAUACAGAUUAACACUUCAACAUAGCUCAAAAGGGUGCGAUCAAAUCUCAUUUGAAACCCUUUCAAGUGUUAGACCAGAGUAGUGCACUAGAUAGGGAGUAGGAUGUGAUUUGAGACAAAGGCUAAGAUUAAUAUGUCUGUUUGUUUGUUAGGCGUCAUGACAACCAGAUGGUUGUUAACAGCUUGUCGUGCUGCUGUUUGAUGUCGAUGCAGAAACAAGAUAUAAAACACAAACUGACUAAAGGACAUCUUUUUCUGUCNNNNNNNNNNGGGGUCUAAAGGGGCUGGUGGGGGUGUGAGGGAAGGCUUUCUUCAGCUUGGGCUUCCUACCUACCACCAUGUAGAUGCUGGGGUUAGGCAUGGGCCGGGGAGGGUCAACAGGGGAGGCAGGGGGGGACUCGGAAGCAACGGGGGAGGAGGAGGGGGACUUGAGGAGGAUGUUGAGGGGGCGUUUGGGUAAUGGGGGCUUGAAGGCCACAGGGGGUUUGGGUCUGGGGGCAACGAGGGGGCCGGGGAUGCAACCGGGGGUGACAGGAGGGGGGGAAAGGUCGCGACCCUGCUCCUCCUCAAUGAUGUCAUUAGAGGCUCCAUCAAGGCAGUCCUCCAGGUCAGUACGGGAGACAGAACGCAGGCGGAUGUUCCGGAGCUCGUUCGUGGUCACCACUGGGAGAGUUGAUUGGCCGCCGGCACUCAGUUUACCGGGCUUAGUGGCGGUGGACGUGUCAGAAUGGCGCCGGCUGGCCUUCUGUUUUGGUUUGAUGGAGGACAAAUCCAGAUGAGCGUUAACCGGCAUCUCGAAGGACAGCCUCGNNNNNNNNNNUCCCCCUCUCUCUUCUUCUCCCCCUCUCUCUUCUUCUCUCCCUCUCUCUUCUUCUCUCCCUCUCUCUAGACUUUUAGUGUUCUGUGGGGAGUUUGGGGAAAGCUUUAAGAGCUGUCCUUAUCACAGAAAGAAAGACAGAAAGAAAGACAGAAAGAAAGAUGGAAAGAAGGAAGGAAGGAAGGAAGGAAAAAAAGAAAAAAGGAAAAAAGGAAAGAAGGAAAGAAGGAAAGAAAGAAGGAAAGAAAGAAGGAAAGAAAGAAAGAAAGAAAAUAAAUCGAUGGACAGAACUUGUAUUAACCCAACUGUGAUCCCCUCUUUCAGAGGAGUGAUAUAUCCACUCGUGAAAUGUUACCCACCUUCUCUCCCUCGCCCCCCUCCCCCUAUCCUCAUACCUCUUUCUCUUCUGCUCCCAUACUCUGUAAUACUCUACCACAUUCCUAGACAUGGUUGAUUGGAGUUUGGAACCCACUAUGAUAAAUCACUGUAUGUGCCAACUGUAGGCUACUGAACAAAUCUGUAUUUCUUCGUGUGUGUGUGUGUGUGUGUGUGUGUGUGUGUGUGUGUGUGUGUGUGUGUGUGUGUGUGUGUGUGUGUGUGUGUGUGUGUGUGUGUGUGUGUGUGUGUGUAGCACUGCGCAACCAUUUCUGUGGCUAGAGCUGGAAUCUGCUACUGGAUUGAGAGUUACAGUAUUGUGUUCCUGCCUCAUCCUCGGUCUUGGGCUAAGUCAUCUAUCUAUUGCUUACAUUUUUUUCAACUCUUUCUCUCUCCCUCUUUCUCUCUAUCGUUGUACCUGUGUUUUAUGAACAAUAUAAGGGUACAGCCAAGAGUAGUAAUAGUAGGAAUAGUGACGACCACUACUGUAACAGCCAUAGUAUAUGACAGUAGUAACCAUAAUAUACAGUAUUACCGUAAUAUCCACAGUAUAUGACUGUAGUAACCAUAGUAUACAGUAUUACCGUAAUAACCACAGUAUAUGACUGUAGUAACCAUAGUAUACAGCAUUACCUUAGUAACCAUAAUAACUACAGUACUUCAGAACAGAAAGAGUAACAACUCUGCAUACCUCAAAGGGAGUGUAAUAUCAAGGUAGCUGAAAACCAUAGAAUAUAACCAGUAGAAUGGGCAUAGAACCUCUGACCAUAGGAAUUUGACAUUAUGGCCCCAUUGACGUAAAUAGGGGUGUCCAUUCUAGUAAUUAUAUUUCUAUGUAGAAAACACAGAAGGUUAAACAUCACGCCAGACUACAAGGCAAACUAACACUGAGUUUUGUCAUAGUUAUUUUUUUUUUAUGUAGUUCCAUUCACUAAAUAUUUAAAACAAGCGUCACUUGACUAUUUAUUAAUAACGUGUUCAUUUACAUAGGUUUUUUUUCUUUCGUUCUUUUCAUUGUCUUUAUAAGUUGUUGACGUUGUUGUUCUGGUUUCCUGAAUGACCGAUAUAACAAAAAGAGCAUCCAGAUAUUCAUUUGGAGUCGUUGCGUCUCCGUGUUGUUGCUGGAGGGACAGAGCAGUAGUCUUACAGGGUGUGCUCCCUCUCUUCAUCCACAGGGGGGCGCUGUAGCUUAAUAGCACCAGGGUUUGCACAGCCCCAAUGUAAUGGUUCUGGAAAAGUGUGGUGAAAGGAGGAUAGGUUAAGAUCCGUGUUCACAGUCUGAGUGGGUACAGAAGUCCACUAUCCUUUCCUUUUAAGUACACAUCUAGACAUUCAUACCCUUUUCCAUCCGUCUCUUGUGUGUUCUUUCACACAAUCCACCCUCCUGUUUUCCUUGUAACAUGGAUGGUUGGUUUGGUCUGGAUAUAGGGACAGAUGCACAAUGCAGCAGAAGGAUAAAAAUAAAAAAACAUUUGUAUUUUUGACAGAGAGGGUUGGAUCGAAAGAUGAAGUUGAACAUAGCACUCUUGAACACGAUAUCAACGCGGCGUCCUUUUCUUUCCUUCCAUUGACAUUCAGGCUGUGUCGUCUGUGAGCGUGAAGCUCAGAUGCACAGAAAGAAUGGGAGGGGCACGGAGGGAGGGAUGAGGGGAGGACGAAGAAAUGUGAAGAGGAGGGGGCUACUCCAUGGGCAGAGAGAGAGAGAGACAGAUGGAGCAUGUGUUCCUGCCAGGAAGGAGGACGAGAAGAGAGGGAGAGUGGACGAGAAGAGAG